rnacentral:rRNA from 1 species
GCUGGCAACGGUGGCUAAUACCGGAUGUGCCGAGAGGUGAAAUAUUUUAUAGCCUGUAGAUGAGCUCGCGUCUGAUUAGCUAGUUGGUGGGGUAAAGGCCUACCAAGGCGACGAUCAGUAGCUGGUCUGAGAGGAUGAUCAGCCACACUGGGACUGAGACACGGCCCAGACUCCUACGGGAGGCAGCAGUGGGGAAUUUUCCGCAAUGGGCGCAAGCCUGACGGAGCAAUACCGCGUGAGGGAGGAAGGCUCUUGGGUUGUAAACCUCUUUUCUCUGGGAAGAAUAACUGACGGUACCAGAGGAAUCAGCAUCGGCUAACUCCGUGCCAGCAGCCGCGGUAAUACGGGGGAUGCAAGCGUUAUCCGGAAUUAUUGGGCGUAAAGCGUCCGCAGGUGGCUAAUCAAGUCUGUUGUCAAAGCGCGGAGCUCAACUCCGUACAGGCGAUGGAAACUGGUUGGCUAGAGUUAGGUAGGGGUAGAGGGAAUUCCCAGUGUAGCGGUGAAAUGCGUAGAUAUUGGGAAGAACACCGGCGGCGAAAGCGUCUUACUGGGCCAAAACUGACACUGAGGGACGAAAGCUAGGGGAGCGAAAGGGAUUAGAUACCCCUGUAGUCACGGGG